GUUCAUCCUUAUUUAUGACUUAGUCAUGUAUGGGGUGAUCUGGAUAUGAUGGAAUAUGUAUGAAGGUUGUAAGUAGGUCAACAUAGAAUCGAUCACUCCUGGUAAGAGGAGAUCGCAUCCUACAUGCUUUAAUCGAUUGAUGAUUUAGAAAAUCUUUGAUCAAAGUGGAAUGAAAAUUAAAAAAGUUUCUAAUAUUUUAUUAAUUGAAUCAUCAUUAAAGAUUAAUAGAAAUAUGAAUAUGAUAUCAAAUUAGACAUCAUUCCAUAUCCAGAGUCAUAUUCGGGAGGCAAGUUGAUAGCA
rnacentral:lncRNA from 1 species